rnacentral:rRNA from 1 species
GACGAAGGUGGCGAGCGUUACUCGGAAUUACUAGGCGUAAAGCGUGGGCAGGCGGUCCGUAAAGUCUGCUGUGAAAGCUCCCGGCUCAACCGGGAGAGGCCAGUGGAUACUCACGGACUUGAAUCGGGGAGAGGUGGCUGGAAUUCCUGGUGUAGCGGUGAAAUGCGUAGAUAUCAGGAGGAACACCGAUGGCGAAAGCAGGCCACUGGACCCGUAUUGACGCUCAUCCACGAAAGCUGGGGGAU